rnacentral:rRNA from 1 species
UACGUAGGGUGCGAGCGUUGCCCGGAUUUAUUGGGCGUAAAGGGCGCGUAGGCGGCCACGCACGUCCGUUGUGAAAUCGCCCGGCUCAACUGGGCGGGGUCGGCGGAUACGGCGUGGCUGGAGCAAGCUAGGGGGCAGUGGAAUUCCCGGUGUAGUGGUGGAAUGCGUAGAUAUCGGGAGGAACACCAGCGGCGAAGGCGGCGCUCUGGGCCGGAACUGACGCUGAGGAGCGAAAGCGUGGGUAGCAAACAGG